UCAAGGGUUUAUUUUGUAUUAUGUUGAAUUGCCAAUAGGAUUAAUGAACUAAAUGAUGUUGUACUAUGAUGAAUUAUGUUUGAAUUACGUGACUUGUGUAGGAUUAGCUACAAGGACGGACUACGCACCUGAACACUGCACUCAACCUGGAGAUUUAACCUGCACCUGUGGCUUUUGUUACCCAGUUGUCAAACCCUGAGUAUCAAAGCUAUUAGAUGUUGAUUGUUCAAGUUAUGGAGUUUUGCUAAGUUUUAAUUUGUACCCUAAUUGUCUGUUAAGAUCGGCGUAUAUGUAUAUGUACAUAGCUAUCUUCGGAUGCAUGACAAUGUAUAUUAUCUGCAUUAUGUUU